AGUGAACGCUGGCGGUAGGCCUAACACAUGCCAGUCGAACGGCAGCACAGUAAGAGCUUGCUCUUACGGGUGGCGAGUGGCGGACGGGUGAGGAAUACAUCGGAAUCUACUUUUUCGUGGGGGAUAACGUAGGGAAACUUACGCUAAUACCGCAUACGACCUACGGGUGAAAGCAGGGGAUCUUCGGACCUUGCGCGAUUGAAUGAGCCGAUGUCGGAUUAGCUAGUUGGCGGGGUAAAGGCCCACCAAGGCGACGAUCCGUAGCUGGUCUGAGAGGAUGAUCAGCCACACUGGAACUGAGACACGGUCCAGACUCCUACGGGAGGAAGCAGUGGGGAAUAUUGGACAAUGGGCGCAAGCCUGAUCCAGCCAUACCGAGUGGGUGAAGAAGGCAUUCGGGUUGUAAAGCCCUUUUGUUGGGAAAGAAAAGCAGCAGGUUAAUACCCCGCUGUUCUGACGGUACCCAAAGAAUAAGCACCGGCUAACUUCGUG
rnacentral:rRNA from 1 species